rnacentral:misc_RNA from 1 species
GUUUCUUGUGCAAGAAGAAACUCCUUCAGGACAAGGAUACUUACAUGUAUGGUCACCUAGGUGCAUUUUGCUCACCUGAAUGCCGAGAAUAUCAGACGGAUUUGGAUGGGUUUGAUCAAGAAAUUGCUAAAGAAACAUCAGCAAGGUUGGAAACAGCAUUAGGAGGAAAGUUCUUCACAAAAGAAGUGCGGAAGCUGGGGUUUCGCUCUUAAGUAGUUUAAAGUAAUAUGGACUGAAAGUCCAUUGUUUGCUGCAGAAGUGCCUAGCUGUAAUGUCUUUGCUUCCAGCUUUCACUUUUGUUUACCAAAAGGGUUGUGUGACACUAUUUUUCCUCAUAGCUGAUAUGUAAAUUUUCAAUUUAUUGUUUUACAUUACCGAC